AUUGAACGCUGGCGGCAGGCCUAACACAUGCAAGUCGAGCGAGAGGCGGAGGGGUGAGUGAUGUGUGGGAAAAUGUGCGCUGGCGAGGGAUAACUCCUGGAAACGGUGGCUAUUACAGCAUACCCUAAGAGGUGCGCACAUGGGGGUAGCUAGAGUGUGGGGUAACGUCUAACCUAGGCGACGAUCCCUCGAUGGUCUGAGAGGAUGACCAGCAACACUGGAACGGAGACACGGUCCAGACUCCUACGGGAGGCAGCAGUGGGGAAUAUUGCACAAUGGGCGCAAGCCUGAUGCAGCCAUGCCGCUUGUAUGAAGAAGGCCUUCGGGUUGUAAAGCACUUUCAGCGUGGAGGCGUUACCCGCAGAAGAAGCACCGGCUAACUCCGUGCCAGCCGCCGCGGUAAUAC
rnacentral:rRNA from 1 species